rnacentral:lncRNA from 1 species
UCAAAUCAUGAGGUUAUGAUUUGAAUCAAAUAAAUAAUGAUUUGAAUAAAAGGUAGUAAAGUGAAAAUUUUGUUAUUUGAUUUGAAUUAAAGGUAGUAAAGUGAAGAAUUUGUUAUUUGAUUUGAAUCAUGUUUUGUGUGUGUGAUUUGAGUCACACUAAAGCAUGACACGAAUCACAUUUAGUUUUAAAAGAAUUUUUUAUUCAUAUGGUUCGAAUAAAA